UGAAAGAGGGAGGCCAUUGAACUGGGGAAUGGGUUGAAGGAACGCAGUUUUCUCUAUUUUAAGAUAGUUAAGGUCCCUGUUCGUGAUCACAGGAGAACGGGGUCAUCCUGACUGACUUGGGAAGGUUCCUUGGCUUUGAAGUCUCCUACACUCCCUGAGGCCCUGAAGACCCCUGCUGGCAGUUCCUCCUUCCCUUUCUCAGGCUACUUUCCUGGCCUUCAAACCCUGACCUCUCCCCAGUGCCACCCUGUUGGAGCUCACAAAGCACAGGAUGUAGGAUGAAGGUAAAGAGAACCAGGGCCAGUAGGAGUUUACCAGAGGCUACUAGAAGCAUUUUGUUUUUCAAACGCUCAGGCUCUACUUGUUGGCAAAUCCAUUCCCAGUUGCCCUAACACAGAGCCUCUCAAGUCAUCUCAGCUGUCGAUACGCCAUCACCCAAUGGUAACUAGCUGAGAGCAUUGCAGGCUGUCUACAGGAAAUCUUACAAGCCAUAAAGAGGCCUACAAUGGACAAAGAGAUUGGUAUAGUGACUGAUAGUGAUUUCAAGAGAACAUGAUGGUGAAGUAUGUCUCCCUUUGCAGAGAUGUGGUGAAUAAAAAUUACAGAGACUCACCAGAGGAAGAAGGUUCUGGGAACAUCUGUUAGAUCAGAUCUCUGGUAGCAGGGAUGAUGGAUCAAUCUCCAAGAAGCCCCAAAUGGAGCAUGGGGUCCCCAUGAAGACACCAAAUAGUCAUCUGUUCAUCAUAUGUAAUGCUCCCUAGGUCAGUGAGGCAAGGUUGUUUCCCUUCCUCCUUUGUUCUGUGCAGUUAGUGGGAACAUAAAUCAACAGAUUUUGCUAUUACUAAUUAAUAGGAAGUGAGAUCUAUCUAAGGAAGAGAAGCAAUAUAUAUUAUAAUCCAGUCCUUUGUCCCAAAUAAGACAAAGGGUGCUAAAUGGUAGGCACCAAUUAAUCUGUUUCCAGACUAAGUACAUGAUUGACUCUUUUCUGAUAUAGCUUUGUACAAAAUGUCUUCAGAAUGAUGGCAGAGCCAAGGGAAAGCUGUAGAUAAGACCUUAACCUUCCAGGUAGAAAGGAGAGGGAGGAGCUUGAGUCCAGAGAAGCAGGGACUUAAGCAGAAAAGCAAAGCUUGAGGCAUGAGUACUUGAUUGUAACGGGUAUCUGCAAUGUGGCUCUUCUCAACGAUACAAUGAUCCAAGACAAUCCCAAAGGACUCAUGGUGGAAAAUGCUAUCCACAUC